ACUAGUGAUUUCCGUAGGUGAACCUGCGGAAGGAUCAUUCGCACAAAGAAUAUCUUUUACACCCGCCACGCACCACACAGUGCUUUCUGUUUUUAAUCAGGAUUUAUAUCCAACUCGUCGAUGUUGCGAUUCCAUUGCAAUGUAUGCGAUGUUAUCUAUCUCUUGCGACGACGAAUGCCUUGGCUCGAGGAUCGUUGAAGGACGCAGCGAACUGUGCUAAACAUCUCGAAUUGCAGAUUUCCGAGAAAGAAAAGGAUUCUGAACGCACUUUGCGAAUUGACCUCGUGUCAGUUCACUUGAUUGGCAGUGACCGCAAUAUGCAGUCGCUCGAACUCCGAAGUUUGAGUGGUGUGCACGUGUUGUUGCAGAUUGUUGCACCGACAUGUUCGUAGAAUUCGACGCGCCUCUCGUUUUCGAGCAGCAUUAUGACUUCGUGUUAUGAUGUUCGAAAGCAGGGACCGUUUCUUGUUUGGUUUUCCAAACGAUUCUUUCGCACGCUCACGACCAGUCAAGGGAUUACCCGCUGAAUUUAAGCAUAUCAA
rnacentral:rRNA from 1 species